AGGGGGCUAGCUCAGUUGGUAGAGCAACGGACUCCAAAUCCGUAGGCCGUGGGUUCGAGCCCCUCGCCCCCUG
rnacentral:tRNA from 1 species